rnacentral:rRNA from 1 species
CUUACUAGGAAAAAUUUCCAUGUUGAAUCCACUAGAUGUGUACUUUGUGAUGAUGAACCUAAAGAAUAUCCAUCUCAUCUGUUCUUUAGUUGUGAUUUCAGCCAAAAUUUCUGGAUGGCCAUUGGUUUUCAGUGGAAUACUAACUAUGGGCUUUUGGACUUACUCAUGGAGGGCAAGAAACUCAACCAAGUGGUAUCCUACAAGGAAUGUCUAAUUGCGGGAUGUUGGAGUAUCUCGAAGCAUAGAAAUAGUAUCAUCUUUGAUCACAAACCCAAAAAUAUAUAGUACUGCAUCAGUACCUUCAAGGAGCAUUUUGAGAUGAUAAUCAAAAAAGCCAAGCCUAGUUUGAAGGAAGGAAUGCAAAGUUGGUUAGAUUACUUGUAG